rnacentral:rRNA from 1 species
UACGUAGGGUGCAAGCGUUGCCCGGAUUUAUUGGGCGUAAAGGGCGCGUAGGCGGCUCUGCACGUCCGUUGUGAAAUCGCCCGGCUCAACUGGGCGGGUGCGGUGGCGACUGCCGGACUGGAGGCACUCAGAGGCCGGUGGAAUUCCCGGUGUAGUGGUGAAAUUCGUAGAUAUCGGGAGGAACACCAGUGGCGAAGGCGGCUCUCUGGGCAGAUACUGACGCUGAGACGCGAAAGCAUGGGGAGCAAACAGG